rnacentral:rRNA from 1 species
UACGAAGGGGGCUAGCGUUGUUCGGAAUCACUGGGCGUAAAGAGCACGUAGGCGGAUCUUUAAGUCAGGGGUGAAAUCCCGAGGCUCAACCUCGGAACUGCCUUUGAUACUGGGGAUCUCGAGUCCGGGAGAGGUGAGUGGAACUGCGAGUGUAGAGGUGAAAUUCGUAGAUAUUCGCAAGAACACCAGUGGCGAAGGCGGCUCACUGGCCCGGAACUGACGCUGAGGUGCGAAAGCGUGGGGAGCAAUCAGG